rnacentral:rRNA from 1 species
CACGUAGGGCGCAAGCGUUUGUCCGGAAUUAUUGGGCGUAAAGAGCUUGUAGGCGGUUUGUCGCGUCUGCUGUGAAAAAUCCGGGGCUCAACCCCGGACUUGCAGUGGGUACGGGCAGACUAGAGUGUGGUAGGGGAGACUGGAAUUCCUGGUGUAGCGGUGGAAUGCGCAGAUAUCAGGAGGAACACCGAUGGCGAAGGCGACAUCCUGGACCGGUAUUGACGCUGAGGCGCGAAAGCCAGGGGAGCAAACGGG